CUGGAACCGUCUGAGCGGCGGGGGAGCCGGUGUGUGAAGCCGGCACCACGUUAGCGGAACCGAGUUAUUGAAGGGCCCCACCUGGGUGGAGCCGUGAGUGUGAGCAGCUUCCGCUUCCCCCGGAAGCUGGCGUCGUGCAGGAACCCUCACCCGCCCGAGCGGGGCCCUGGGCCUCCGGGUCACUCUCUGUGGCGGGGUCUGGCUGCGCGUCAGACGGCCUCCUCCAAUGCCCGCAGUUGCUGUCGCCCCCAGGCCUGGACCGGGGAGUGAGGGGUGGGCCUGACCGGCCCCUGAGCUCCCGUCAGCCCCCCACGCGAGCCCGUCCUGUGCUGGGGGCAGGGAGAUGGGCCGGUGGGAGAGGAGACCGCAUCCAGCCCUCCCUGGCCACCUGCAGGGUCCCCACCGUGGCGGCUGCUUUACUGCUAACUCCUCCCGGGGACCCCAAGUCCCCAUCGCUCUCGGGGGUCCCCCUCAUCCGAACCGCCUCGGAGGAGGGCCGCAUCUCACGCGGAGCACCCCUCCACGCCUGUGACCCUGGACUUGCUCUCCCGCCCCCGCCCGGGCCUCAGGGCUCAGGAGGCCGUGAUGAAGCCAGCAGGUGAACUGCACCCUGGAGCCUCCGACGGGGCGGCCACGGGCAGCGAAGAACCCGGAAAAACAGUACCCUUCUGAGGUUAAUCCGCGUUGAUAGAAGCAGGUGUGGUUCAUCUGGAAUCUGUUGGUGUGAACUGCGCGGCGGCGUCCCCCACCAGGCACCACAGGUGAUUCAUUCGUUUCCCUGAAAAGGCGCCUGGAUGCUGUUUCUAGCUCCCGUUAUCCCCAGCGAUGCUGCACCUGCCCCAGGACACACGCUAGGGUGGAACCGCCGGGCAUGGAGCAGGUGUGGUCUCAACCGCAGGAGAAACAGCCGGGUAGCCUCCAAAGGGACGUGCCACUUGGCGCUCCUGCAAGGGGAGAGGCACUGAGGCUCUCGGUCCUCACCAGCACGUCCUUGUGCCACACUCAGGCCCGGCGGGUGGUGUGGGGGCCGCAUCUCAUGGAGGUCUCCGUCCACGUUGCCCCCAUUGUGACCGCAGCGGGCGCCUCUUGGUAGCAGCCACCGGCCUCUUCUGGGACUCGCCGGAGGGUUUCCACGUCGCCCGCUCCGACGGGGCUGUUCAUCUCCCCUUGAUCUGUGGGACUCCCCGUCCGUCUCAGAUGACAGAAUGGAGCCCUGGGCUUCUCCAUGAAGUUCCUGUGUGACCUAGGGCAAGGCACUGCCAUCUCUGAGCCAUCCUCGCUUUCCAUCUCUGUGAAAGGAAAAGGCUUGGACACGGAGCUGCCCCGCCUCUGACUGGACGUCCCUUCCCCACCCAGCGCCAGAGGAUCUUGUGAUCCAAGCAGUUGCAACCUCGCCGGGCUCCUGCGGCUCCCGCCAGUGGACCCAAGAAAAGCCAGGCCUGUCUGAGGUCCAGGCAUGGUGACCCCAGGUUACCCAGGGUGCUGGAGCCCUCUUCCGUGGCAGGGAGAGGCCACGUGCUCCUUCCUGCUCUGGUUCCACCCUCACUGGCCCCUGGUCCCCGCCUGUUUGAGGAGAUCCUGAGGGGGCUGCCGGGAGGACUGGUUCCAACGCUCAGGGCCUCCGCCUGGACUCUGGCCUGCAGGCUUGAGGAGGGAGAGGCCUGUCCUCCCUCACUGCC
rnacentral:lncRNA from 1 species